rnacentral:sRNA from 1 species
AUAUAUCAUAAUUUUGCUGAAAUUGAUGAUAUUUAUUGUAAUGAAAUUAAAAGACAGGAACAUGUUUUUGAUCUGUGUUGGAGAUCUGAAAAGAAUAGGUAAAGUUUGUGCAUGUUGAUGAAGAAAACUUUGUGGCUGAAGCUUCUUGUUCUUGUAUAUGUUGUUGAAAUUGUGAUGAGGUGCCAGACAUGGUUCACUCGUCAAAUUUAUGACCACUCAUGAAAGUUGCAAAGGGGUGUGUCCACAUGCAAAAAGCUACCUGCUGGUGCCUUCGAUCAUUCAUUGUUCGCCGUUAUUGCUUAAAAUAGUGUUGUUUUUCCCUCAGCAAUCAAAGCUUAUAAAGUGAGAAAACAGUGAGGGCACCCAUUUAAAGUAGAAGACAACCUUUUUUCCAGAGCUGAAUGUACAGAAUGGACCAGGUCAAGAAAAUGGAAACUGAGGCAAACUGCAUGAUGCUAUUCAAGCAUAUGGGACAGAGGGAUUGCACAUUUUUCAUGGUGCCCUGAACAACUACAUGAGCAAAAAGCAAGCAAUAAUAAAUUAGCAGUAGUGGUGGGUAAAUAAUUGAAAGAGUUUGAAUGAUUUGUUGCAGUAUGUGGUAUUUGACCCUCUUGUGCUGCCAUGUUUAAAAGAAAUAUAAAGGGACAGCAAUAAUCAUUUAAUCUUA